UACAGAGGGUGCGAGCGUUAAUCGGAAUUAUUGGGCGUAAAGCGCGCGUAGGCGGCUUUGCAAGUCGGGUGUGAAAUCCCUCAGCUUAACUGAGGAAGUGCGCUCGAAACUGCAGAGCUUGAAUACCAAAGAGGAUGGCGGAAUUCCCCAAGUAGAGGUGAAAUUCGUAGAUAUGGGGAGGAACACCGGUGGCGAAGGCGGCCAUCUGGGUGGUGAUUGACGCUGAGGCGCGAAAGCGUGGGUAUCAAACAGG
rnacentral:rRNA from 1 species